rnacentral:misc_RNA from 1 species
CAGCGAUAGCGGAAAUGACCAAGAGGUAGAAAUUUACAAAAGCCGCAUAACAGUUCGCCACCACCAUCGAUGUCUCAGUUCAGAAUUAGGGUUAUCGGUUGAACGAGGGAUCGCCAUAUUUGUACCAAUUCAUCCCUCCUCCUCCUGUGUCGAGACAUCCAUAUCUGCCGCCGCCUCCGCCAGAUUCCUUGUAUCCACAUCCUCCUCCUCCUCUACCCUCUCCGACAUCGUGCCCACCUCCACCCCCUCCUCAUUCGUCUUUUCUCAACCACUGUCCUCUCCGCUAAUAAAUCGGUAUCCGCCUUCGUCCCUUCCUCCACCUUCUAAGCCACGAUUCUGUCUUCUUCCUCCUUCUUUGUGUUCUCACCCACCUUCUCAGAUUGUUCGAUUUAAACAAACAGCUCCAUUCCCAGUUAAAAAAUCCAAUGAGACUAGGGAAGAGAGGAGGUUGAGGAAGAAUAAGGAAUUCGAAAAAGUGAGACAAAAACAGAGAAUAAGGGAAGCACAGAAUAGAAUAAUAGAGAAAACCAAAUUGAUAUUUUUUUGGUAUGAAGGUCAUGGGUGAAUUAGAUCAGACAAAGUAUUGCCCCUUUGCCAAGUGGUGGCAUGACAGGCAACCUGUUGAAGAAGCAGUAGCUGAAGUAUAAAGACUCGGUUGUGUUUGUGACUUUUGAUGGUGCUCCAACUGCUGGUUCAGAAACCUACAACAAGCUGUAUAAAACUGUUCGUGAUGCAUAUGAAUCACAGGUACGAGGUGAUGAUGCAAACGAUCCUACUACAUACGUUAGCGGCAUUUGGUGGAACAGUGGCCCAUUACAUGCCUGUUCCAGCAAAGCUUGUUUUGCAAACAACGAUACCUGAAGAGGCAAAAUCAAAUAAUGAAGUCGAACAUUUCCCAGAUGCUUCCAGAGUUACAGUAAGGAAGAGACCAACAGGGGUUAUACAACAACUUUGAAGGGGAAGUGGUUGAAGUCAGAGAUGCAAAAAAAUCACUCAUGAAGAUGUUGUUGGCAAACAACCGAACAGUAGGCAUGAUUGACUCCUUCACAGUUCUUUAUGUUGAUCAGAUCAUUUUCAGCAAGAAAAUGGAAAAAGAGAAAGGGUAGGUACAUGAGAGAAGUUGCAUAAAUAAACAAUGCAUUGUACCAUAUGAGCAUUUCGCUCUUUGGAAAGAUUGAACUUUCAAGUAAUUUGCAUAUGCGAAUGAUUGUUUGGACUGACA